CGCGCACGACAGCCACUUCUAAACUCUCCCGAAUCAUGCCUCACAACUAAUAAUCCAACAACAUAAGUAAUCACCCUGUCAUUCACCAUAAAGACUCGAAAUUUACCGCAGAAACACGAAACACGGAGGGGCGGCUGACCCCGGCCAAGAAAUCAACGACACCCGGAAAAGCAAACCGGCGCUGGAAUUACAAGUGGAAAAGAAACUGGACAACAAUACGAUACCUGUGGAUGACUGAAGAGCUCAACGGAGACAGAAUAACUUACCGGUAGGCGCAAGGCAAGGGUGGUAAGAGAACAGAAGAGAGCGCUCAAGCUGAGGUCAAGCGAUGGAACUGCCCGUCGUGAGAAAGGUUCCCUACCUCUGCCAGGGUCAUUCUUGUCAAUCACGCCCAUCAACGAAGCGACCUAACGAAACGAAACAGCAGACUUGGAAGGAGCAAAAUAAACACUAAACACUAGCGCAUGGAAAAACGGAAACCCUAGCACAAGCAAGAAGAGAAAACCCUAGCCAUCCGAGAGCACGUAAAAGGAGCUGUCGAAAGAAACAGCUCGAUACUUACGAAUCCAGUUAUUCACUCACAGUCACGGAUUCAUAAUAUCUGGCAAAAUUCAGGUGCUGAAGACCAGGACAUAGUAAGUAGUAAAACGCUCUUUUCAUUCUAAUUCUUGUCGAAAUUCACAAUUCUAACGAAUGCUCCUCUCGGGCCAAGCUGAAUACGUACAUGAUGUUCUAGGAACUCAAAUAGCUCACGCAAUACUUGGAAAAGAAACACUGCUACAACGAAUUGAUAUUUGUUACUAGCGUUGCAGAAGCUCAAUUCCAACUGCAUCAGACUCAUAUAAUUCUUACUAAUGGUUACAUGCUCGUGCAAACAAGGGUCGCGAAGCAAAUCGCUGAAAAAACUUCAUGGAAACUCUGCAGAAUCGGCAACACGAAUUACUACCAGCACCUAGCGAGUUCAAACAAUUUCACACUCUCUUUCAGUCCUGAUUCAUCGCAGUACAACCUCACCGUAAUCAAAUGACAAAAAAAUCACAAAUCAAGACACACAUAACGAACGGUCUUCAAUCAACGAUUACAAAAUCUCACAACCUCUCUACAACAGCGUCAUCUCUGGUAGAGCAAACUUGUGCAAGCUCUCUUCCACAACACUGCUUCCCUUCCACUUAAUAUUAACGCAAAAUCCUAAGCAUGAAAAGACUUCUCCUCAGCAUAGCCGCACACAUAUUACCUCUCUAUAAUCCAAUUCAAAGCAGCAAGUCACCUCAUAAACGAACUAGAACUUCACUUACCACAUCGUACGUUGGAUUCAAGAAACACACUCAAAGAGGGGACCAAGAGACUCCGAAGUGCUAAAAAGCCCCAAAAAAGAGCAUUCAGGAGAGAUCCUUGAGCUUCGAUUUUAAUGGCUUCAAGGCAGAGAAAAUUCCAGUCAACAUUCCCUCAAUCCUACGAGCAUGCUCGUAUGAUGCAAUGCAUCAUACGCGCAGUGAGCACAAAACGCAAUGCUAUCUCUCUCACUCAACAGGAACACGAGUGGAAUAGUUUAAUAUCUAGGUGAUACUCCUUUGAUAUUGAUGUGUUAUUGUGCCGAUACUCGGGCUAAUAGAGUGGACAGGGGUAUAUACGACGACAGGCUUCCUGGAGGUUUUGAUGGUUGGAAGAAGGCGCAUGGCGAUCGGAGCAGAGAUCAGAGGGGUGAUAGCAGCCGUGGAUGAUGAGUAGGGGCGUUGGUAGCCGUUCUAUAGCGCGCUGGAGUGUAUGGGGUCCGCGGAGGCGAUGGAAUUCUCUUGCAGCCACUGUCAUUCAUCAUGAUGAAUCGCACAAAUCUCGUUCACACAGCAUCAUUGUUUGAAUGGAUGAUGCUGUGUAAACAUUGUGGUCUACCACGACCCUCAUUUCCAUCUUCCAUAUCACAAGUGGUUUCUAAUUUUAUGUGUUGCUGGAUGUCAUAUGACAAGUACAAAGGAGGUAGGAGAGUGCUAAGAUGUGAAUGAUGAGCGAUGAGCAUUGAGCAAUAAGUAGUAACAUGUGACUAGUGAGCAGUUGUUUGUUGUUGUUGUAGCUUUGGAUGUUUGGAGGCCAAUGGCCAUCAAUUUCUACAAGAAUUUUUAUUUUUUGGAUGAAUUUCGGAAGCAAAUUCUAUUUCAAUAGAAAAUGGUUUAGAAUACCAUAGAAAAGUUUAUACAAGAAUAUGUUAGUGUUAAGGAUAUAUAGUAAUAGAAAAAAAAAAUUCAUAUGGCAAAUCCACAUGUAAAAUCAAAAAGUAUGUAAUGGCUCUAGAAGUCUUACAUCUAUACUCAAGCGAUUGUUCUUUGCGACACAAUAGAUAGGAAUGUUAUUUUCAACAUCAAUGACAACAUUCUCCAAUGAAGGAGCAACCACCAUAGGUGUUGUAUAUUGAAGAGGUAUAAACACAACUUCAAAGAUGAGAUGGUCCUUCUCAAAGGCAACUAGGCGGCAACCAAAACAACAGCAAGAAUAAAUAGAUAUCUUUAGGAUUUAGUAAAAAAAAUUUAGAAUAAAUUUAAAAUAAAAAAUUAAAAGAAAAAAAAAUACAAAAAAGUGAAGAUUUAGAAGUAUAUGUAGAGAUAAUGGUUCCAACAAUAAUAGCACACGACUUGAUAAUGGCCUCUAGAGGAAUUUACAUAAAAAUAAGGUCCUUCUCCUGACUUCUUUUCUAUGGCACAACUUUGUUCAUAACUUGUGUCUCCUUCGCUAUGAAGUUGAAUCAGAUAUCAUCACCCUCAAUAUGAUAUAUAUAUCAUUGGAUAAUUCAUGGUCUUCUUUGAAAGUAAACUAUAGAGAUGGUUCCAUCUUAUGAAGAAGCAAAAAGAUGUGGAAGUGGUAUGUUUGAAGGAGAUAGUAAUGUUAGAAGUAAAAACAACAAAAAGAGUUUAAAUCCAUGGCUAAUUUCAAAAAACAUAAUGAGACAAUAACAUUCAUCAAUGAAGCCAACUAAUCUUUGAAAAUCCAAAACUCGUAUGUUAAAGCAUACAUUUGCACAUCUAUCCAAAUGGCUUGUGAUUCAAGCAUGAAAAAGAAUAUAGGUGCAUUAUAGAAGAAUGCAUAAGCAACUUCAAAAAAGGCCUCCAUGUAAGCCUUAACAUAUCGAUUCUACUUUGAAAUGGUAUAGGAUUAAGAGGAGAUGUUCAGGACUCGCAUUUUUUUUUGGUAGGUCUACAACAAGGAGGUGAAUCCACUAUAGAGGCAUAAUGCAAAAUACAUUUCUAUUCGUUUAUUUGUUCUAACUUGUCAAUACAAAAAAAAAUAAUAAAUAAUAAAAAUAUUAUAAUAUAAUAUAUAUUAUGUAGAAAAUUGCUAAAAAAGAGAAAUAUGUCUUGUUCAUAAAAUUAUACAUUUCAACCAUAAGGGAGUAUAUAAGCCCAACUUCCAUGAACUUGAAUAUAAAAAUGUUCUUAAUCAAAACACUUAUUAGAGUAGCUAUAGAGAAGGAGCUCACACCAACUUGCAAGGUUUAUUUUUUUGCCUAAAUUUGGACUUGAGAAGCUUGCAUAAUUGAGGUACACUGAGUAGAAAAAAUUUCCAUUGCCAUCUUUAUGAUUUAUACUACUAUAAAUGCUAUGUUAGUACUAAUAUGGGUGAUUGCCACUGAAGCACUUUUUUGAGUCUUCGAGGCUUUUGAAGCCUUCAAGGCCUUUAGAAUCUUUAGAGCCUUUAGAGCCUUCAGAUCAAAUAACAAUGCAUUCUACUUUCCAAUUUGAAUGGCUUCUUUUUCAAUAGUAAUCUCAAGAGCCUCCAAAAUAUCAUUAAUACCAUCUUCUAAGAUAAUCGCAGCUCCCUUGCCACUUAGCUAUAGCUUUUUUUUUUCCUCCUCUAUAAUGAAAUCUUUGAAAGGCAUUUCAAAUACCACAGUCCACUCUACAAAUGAGAAAGCAAUGACUUCAUCACUUUUACUAGGAUGUAGAUACAAAGUAGAGACCUUUGUUUAUUAAUGUAGAUAGAUACAUCAAUAAUACUUACAAAAACACAACAUUCUUAGAUACCAACUUUUUACACAAGUAUUUAUACAAGAAAAUGAAUGAAAAUUUGCUAAAAAAUACAUGAAGAAGAUGAAAAAAAAUAAAAAGUCAGAUAUUAACUUGAUGACCACCGUUUGAUGGUCAGACCACCAGUUGGUAUGUCCUCAAGAACGGGAGCUUUGAUAAAAGCACUAUUACUUUAGAAAAAUGAGAUGAAUGCAUAUUUUCAAAGUAUGAUCCUCCACUACUCAAUAUAAUCUCCAAUCUUAAAAUUUUAGAAUAUAAAAUUCUAAUGGAUGUAAUUGAAGUUGAAAAGCAUCUCUUCAAACUCUUGAACUAAUACAUGUUCCAACUACAAGGAUUGUAAAAUAAGUGCAUCAUUAAUCAAAUAGAAAAUAAGAAAAAUAAAAAUAAAAAGAAAGUGAGAAGACUAAUCUAGGCCCAAAAGUUAGUUUGAAUGAGCUAUUAGUCCAAAACUAUUUUUUUCAUAGGUCUAAUAAAGAAACACAAUGAUGAAGGGGCAAAGGUAGAAGAAUUCUACCACUAGAGUCACCUCACUUUGAAAUUAGAAUUCAUGAUAGUAAUUACAAUCUUGUGGAUUUCUUUGAGUCAUAUCAGUCUUUGUCACAAUAUUCCAAUAUUUUGAAAUUUGUACCAAUUUUUUUUUAAUAUUAUAAAGAAGAUAAUAAAGAAUAUUGACAUGAUGGCAUUGCAAAAAAAAUAAUUAAUGUGAGUUAUCAAAUUUACUCAUUAAUUAUUUUAGGAUAAAAAGAUGUAUUUAGAGUACUUUAAACCACAAUAUAUAGUGAGUAGUAUAGAAAUCUUUAGUCAAAUAGAAAAUUAGAAUGUUAGUUGUAAAAAUGGAGUCCUAGUAAGUCUUGGAGAUAAAUAUCUUAGUUGAUUUAAUAUUUUUACUUAUUAUUGAAUAUCAAGGAUUAUUUAUUAAGAUUAAUAUUUAUAUUGGCCUUAUAUCUAUAUGUAGUACUUAUAAAUAAAAUUAUAAAUAUCAGUUAAUAAUUAAAAAAUAACAUGAAAAAAAAAGCUCAUAUCUUUUUAGUUAGUUAUAUAAGAAAUAGGAUUUAUAGUUGAUUUAAAUUGAUUUUAAUAUUAUAAAAAAUAAUAAAGCUAGAAAAAUAUAGCUUUAAAUUUAUAUUUAUAUUAUAGAAAAUUUAUAGGAAUUUUUUUAAUUUAUUUAGAAUUUAUUUUUAAAAUUUAGACUUUGAUAAAAAUAAAUUUUACUACCAUGGGAUCCAUUAUGAAGAAAUGGAAUAAGUUUUGAAGGCCACACAAGGUUUCUAUGCUAAUUGGGUGUUUUUAAACACCAUGGUGGAGUCAAAAAUGCAAAAAUAUUGAUUUUAUUAGUAGAAAAUAGGAGGGCCAGCAGCUAGUAUAGUUCUUGUGAGAAGGUAGGUGCACAAGUUCCAUAUGGAUUGUAGCACCUUGAAGGUAGUUAGGAGGAUAAGACUAUGGCCUUACGGCUUCUCUUAGACACCCAUAUAUACUACUUAUGAGUCUUGGUGAAGUUCAAACUCUUGAUCUCUUAAUCAAGUUAUCCUUGAGGUAAAAAUUAUUUAUUUAAUUUUUUUUUGUUUAUCUUUUAUCUUUAACCUCUUAUAACUUAUUCAUAAUAAUUUGGAUUUACAUGUUUCUUAUACUAUUGAAAAGAUAAUAUAAUUAAAUUUCUAAAAAUAUAUAUAUAUAUUUUUUAUUUUUUUAUUUUUUAUCAAGUAAAAACUUAGUGAAUAGACUUUACUAUUGUUCUAGUAUACAAUUGCUUAAUUGCACUCGUUUCACUUGUUUUUGUGUUAUACUUCUUUUGUUCUUGCUACUUCCACUUUACACCACUAAUUACAAGCAACUCUUAAUUGAGGCCAUCUUAUAAUUUGGAUUGAGGGAUAGAAUUUAUCUUCACAUUUUGGUGCAUUUGCUAGGAGGUGGUGCUUCUAAUUGUGUGUGUAAAUGUGAAGUGAGUUGAUUUUAAUUGACCUUUUGUAUAGAUUAUUUGAGUGAGUAUUUCAAAUCUAUUUUCUAUCAUUGGUAAGUCUUUUAUCUUUCUUCAUUUUUUUUAUAAAAAUAUCUCUUUUAAUUAUAUAAUCAAAAGAUAUUUAAAAGAAAAAAAAAAAAGAAAAAAAAAAAAACCAUGGAUAGGUAGAGAGUGAUUUUCUCUCGGAUUUUCAUCAAUCAGUUUUUAUGUAAUUGUUAUUUCACUUUGGAACUUUGUAAAGUUGUGUAUCUUGGUGUUAUCUUUUUAAAAAGCUACUGCAUGUUUGAAUUGGACUAAAAUUGAAUUUUAAGUGAAUUUUUGAUUAAAAAAGGAUUCACUGCCUUGGCAAUUUUAUAUACUCCAUGUUUGAAAAGGCAUUUCUUAGUGCUUGUUGAAUAUUUUAAAUUGAAUUACUUUGGAGUAAAAAAAUCUGAAGGAUAAACUUGGAAUGGUGCAAUUUUUAUUGAAAUUACGUCAAUAUUCAAUUUUUGGUGAUUUUUGAAGUGAAGAGUAAGCUUGAAAGUUUUAAGGGUUCAUCAUCAAGGGUGGAGCUCAUCUUCAAGGAUCUUCACUAUCUUUCCUUGUAAUUUUUCUAAUUGAGGGUCUUUUUUAGUAAUAGGGAGAUUUAAUCACUCCAUCUAUUCUUGGUAUCAUUUCUUUUCAUCUUUGUAAAUUUUUAAUUGAAGGCUUUUCUCUAGUAAUAGGGAGAUUUAAUCACUCUCUCCACCCUUCAUAUCUCUUCUAUUCACAAGAAGUAGUAUAGUAGGAGCUUAACAAGAAAUUCAAGAAAAUUCUUCAUCAACAAGGAAAGAAAAGAUCAACAAGUUUAAGUCAUAAAUCUAAGGUGAAUAUACUUUUUAACAACUUUUAUUGAGUUUUAAUUUAUUUUGCUAAUAUAGAUUGUGGUUUAAGGAGAAAGAGCUCAAAAAGAAAGAAGAAUGACAUUAAUAGUUUGCAAGCAAGUAAGUCUUUGAAUCCUUGUCAAUUAUUUCUUUUUUUGAAAUUUUAGCAAAUUACUUGAGUAUAAGAAGCUGGAAUUAGAAUUUGGAGGGUAGAAUCUAAGAAAAAGAGGCAAGAAGAGGUUCCCUUUUAAACUUUUUUAUAGAUUUUUUCAAAUGGGAUCAAUAGAGCCUUAGGACCGUUUACUAUUCCAUUCUAAAAAUAGAUUUUCAAACCAUUUAGUUAGAAUCGAAUAGGAAAAAAAUCACAUUAGAAAUUCUUUAAAUUGUGUCAAGUUGGCUACAGAUAUGACGAGCUAAGUCCUUCUUCAAAGUGAUAUAAUUAUUUUACAAAGAACAAUUUUUAUCUAAUAAACAACUGUUGUUAAUUGUUGUAGUGGAUAAUUCUUUAAUAGACUUGUUGUAAAAAAGUAGAAAGAAAAAAGAAGAGUUUGAACUUUCUGCCAUCUUGAUAUGGAAUUCCUUUUGAUAAUUAAGAUUGCUUAGAAUUUUUCAAAAAAUAUGAUAUAAUGUCGGAAACCUGUCAAAAAAAGUAUCAAAAAUAAAUCUUCUUUGGUUGUUCUUCGGUUGUGCAUAAGUACAUUCCACUUUUUCAAUCUUAAGCAUGAGAGGUUUGUUUUAACGAAGCAAAUUCCUUGGUAAUGAUCUGAAUUGUGGAGUUUUGAGACUUCAUCUCCUUGGAGCUAUUUUCUCAAAAAUUACAUGAAACUUGAGAAGAUGGAGCACUAUAGGUGCCUUCAGCCAACAAUGUCGCAUGUAGCCCUACAUAAGAUUCUUGCAAAUAAGAUCUCAUACCCAUAUGAUAGGUCAUCCUUAUUUGCUUCAACAACAUAAUGCCUGAAUCACAAUAUUUCUCACAUCAGUAGCUUUCGAAGUCCAUGUGUAAAUUCAUGUUAGUCAUUCCAUGGAGACAUUUUAAUUUCUUCAAGCAAGUUUUUGCAUUUGGUCUUCUGGAAGUGUCAAUCUACAAGCAAUCCCUUUGCAACUCUCUAACACUAGUUCACAAAUCUUUUAUCCCGCUACUCCUAAUUGUACCAUUAUCAUAAGUUAAAAGAAAAUAACUUGAAGAGGAAUUGUAGAAUAAGUAGUUAUUUUUAGAAUAUAGAUACCUAGUAUAUAGUGUAAACAUGGAUAGAUAACUGUUGAAAGGGUGGUUCAGUAGAUAGAAUAGAUGAAUAGAUAGAAAAAGUAGUUAUCAUCGUAAUAUAGGAGUUGGUAUCUCGGGGUUGUAUGAGGAGGAUGGGAGAGAAGAUGAAAAUACCAGACUGUGAUAGUCAUGAGCCGGGGAUAAGCUUGGUGCUAUCUCUUCCUCUUAGUUUUCUUCUUUCUUUUGUAUUAGUGUUGAUUCUAGUGAAGAGAAUCAAUUUUAUGAAUCAAUGUUUGAUUUAGGAAGUUGUUUAUGGAAGUUUCUAGUCACUAUUUAUUGCAAGGUUGUAAGUUUAGUAGAGAGGAAUUAUAAUUGAAUGAAUUGUCUUUAUCAAAUUCAAUGGAUUGGAAGUUAUUCAUUCUAGGAUUUGGAUUAGGCUUGUAUGUUUGUGAAUUACAUAGGGUACUGAAAUUGAUGUCAUGGUUGUUAUCAUAUUGAUAUGAAAGAGUGGACAGUAGGAAGAAAAUGUAAGUAUUCUUCGGUAUUGUAAGCAUUCAGCAGUAGCGGUUAAUUGUGUGACCCUAACAAUUGGAGCUCAUAUACAUGGUCUUUUCCUGUGUUCGAAUUCCCCUAUAUGGAUUUAUUCUGGUAGCAUCCUUUCAGAAUAAGUAAAAUGAUAAUCACAUUUUGGCGCCGCUGCCGAAGAUUGACAACAUUAUUGGGUGUUAAGAAUUAUUUGCCAAAGCAGUAAAGGAGAUUAGGAAGCAAACUGAAUUAAAAUAAUGAAAGAGUAUGGUUAUUAAGAAUGAGAAUUUAACAACAAAGAGAAUAAAGCAAUCAAAGAAAAGAACAAAGAGAUCACAAGCAAUAAAUUUGUUACAUAGUGAGCGAGAUCACAAGUUGAAAAAAAAGCAUUGAUAAAGUUGGAUUAAGUCGUGGUUGUAUGCCUAUUGGCAUAUUUGAUCAUAUCUAGAAGGCAAUCGACCUCUAAUAUUUCAAAAGUAUACACCAUUAAAGAAAUCACCAAGAGCACUUGUGGGAAGAUCUGCUAAUAGUCCAGCAUACCUCUCGAAGCCGUUAACGGAAAGCAAGGAAGGUACAAAGGAAUUAGGUACUCCAUUGGGUAUUUUUCCAAUUAGAGAUAUGUCCGAUUCUAACAAGAUUGGUUUUGAAGAUUGGCAUGAAUCACUUGUCAAUAGAGACCAAUUCAGAGUAUAUCAAAAUCCAUCGUUUUUACCUCAUAUUCAACCAGUAAAAUUAUUUGGAGAUAAUAAUAGUCAAUCGAGAAGGCUUGGAUGGCUGAAAAAUACUUUUGUGGGAGAAAAUUUUUAUUUUAAUAAGAAAUUGAGCGAAACACCAACAUCUUUAAUGGCAUUCGGAGGUUCAACGAUUCAAAUCGCAGUACAAAUGGGUGCGGCAAGAGAUCACACAACUAGCGUGGCUCUAUUACCUACCUUUAGAGGUUUACCAGGAGCCAAUCCAGAUCAACAUUUAUAACAAUUCUUGACUGCAUGUGUAGCCAAUAAUGGAAGAACUGAAGAUAUUUGGUUAAGAUGGUUGCCAGCAACAUUAAAAGACACACCAUUUGAGUGGUAUAACUGCCAACUUGUCGAAUCAUUUAUCAAUUGGAAGGCAUUGAAAAAUACAUUUUUAGUCCAUUUUCGACCAAUUGGUUUUGAAGAACAUCUUAGAGAAAAAUUAAUGAACAGCAAAAUGGUACCAGGGGAAGCGGUACAGUCAUAUUAUGAUUGUAUAGUAGAUAUACUUCAAAAAUGGCCAAAUAACCAAAUACCGAAAUUAUUUGUGUUGUCCAUAUUGGUUAAUGGACUACAUCCACCAGAAUUGAAGAUGUUUGUAAAAUGGGCCCAAUCAGCCACCAUUGCAUCAUUUCUUGAGCGAACAAAAGUAUGGGAAGAAUGUCACUAUGACCAAAAUUUAACAGUUGAAGCCAUGAUGAUUCCACCUCAAGGAGGUUAUCAAAUGACAAAUUGGAAUGACGCAUCGGAUAGUUAUCAAGGAAGGAAUGAUUAUGGUACAAUUCCAUAAGGAAUAGUGGAUGCCGUUCUAUUGCAGGCUGUACCACCAUCAUUAUCACAUCCGUAUGUGCCUUAUUUUGCAUAUCAAAAAUCAAUACCUACGAAGGAAUUUCCAAAUGCAUUGGUAUUAAGGGAUUCCAAUGAAUCAUUGUUGUUAACAUUGACGAAAAAAAUGGAUGAAUUGGCUAUGAAUCUUAUGAAGGACAAGGAAAAGAGAUAUAAACCAAGCAAUAUGCAUCCCAAUUUCUGGUGGAGUAAUUGUAAGGGGCAAGGUCAUUUAGUAACAGAAUAUCCUUCACCACCUUAAAUGAUUGUAUAUUAUACCUUUUCUGAGGGCAAGCAUAUUACCACCAACUGUUGGAAUUUAUGGAAGCAACAACAACUCAGUAACUAGAUAAUGAUCCAACCGUGGAACGAUAACCAAAUUCAUGGGACGUUAAGCAAAUUCAAAUAGAAAAUAGGUUUGGCUAGAAUGAGAAUCGUUUUAACAAGCCGAAUAGAAAAAAUUUUAAAUUUUAAAAUUUGGUAUACAAUCAAGAAUACGGAACCAAUGCUCAAAGAAUGGUACAAAAUCAAUAAGGAUAUUUCCAAUAUCAAUCCUUUCAGCAAUCAAAUUCGGAUUCCAAAGUACCAACUGGACAACCGGGAUCAUUUUUCCAUUCAACCUAGAACAUGCUGAGCUGGUAUAUCCUGAUAGAUACUCCCAAUAUUCCUGUCGGUGUUUAAAGGAAACCACUUUGAUGUUAAUGUUGAAGACAAAUUGGACAUUAUGCUAGUGAAUGUCCUAAUCUAAAAGCAAGCAAUGACUAUGCUCCCUCGUGUGGAAAUUAUAAGCAAUCAGGACAUACUUAUCAGCAGUGUAAUUCUCCAUUUAAUUUCAAUAAUUAAAACCAACAUAUUCAAUUGCAGAGUAAACUAGAGGAGAAUAAUCGAGAUUUAUUGGUAAACUGGGUGGAAUGCGUACAUACCAUGCUUACAAGGGUCCAAAAAAAAGAAAAAGAUCCAAUUCGACAAUUGGAGGAACCAAUUUCUAAGAGACAAUAAGACUCAAAUCUAAUAACCAUACUUAGAUCGUCAUCAACAUUGAGACCUGAAUAAUCAGAACAGCCCAAUGAUGGUUCUGACACGAGACUAUUGAUCCAACAUGAACCAAUUCUAUUACCCCCAAAAGACAAGGAGCAGCCUUACUCACUGAAAGACCCUCUCAGGGUGAAACAAUAUGAAAUAGCUUGUUCAACUAUUCCGAUGUGUGACUCUAUAAAGCAAGAUAAGCUAUUGACAAGAGUUAAAGUGAAGCCUAUGAAAAAGAAAAGGGCUUUGGGAAUUACUACAAAUAUGGAACUGUAUGAUAUAUUGAAGGAUUUGGAUGAAAUCAAAUCGUCAAUCUCAAUGAAGCAACUAUUAGCGAUUAUGCCAGAAUGUCGUUCUAUGUUGAAUUCUUCAUUAAUACUACGAAGAACUUGGUCUAAAGAAGUUUGGGAAGUCAGCUUAAACCCCGAUCCAGGAGCAUCGAUUAUUGAUGUAUCUAUCAAUGGAGUCUUUAUUUCUAGAGUUCAAGUGGAUCCGGGCUCAAGUGUAAAUUUAAUGACGGUGGAAAUAAUAAAAAAUCUGAGUUUAAUUAAGUUGUUAUCCACAUUAUUUGUAUUAAGAAUGGCUGACUAUAAUCGAGUCAAGCCUAUGGAUAUUCUUUAUAGUAUUGACAUUGCUAUAGCAGAAAUUAUGUAUAAAAUUGAUUAUAUCAUUUUUACAUUAUAAAGUUCCACAUUAUCAUAUCUAAAUUUAUUGGGACGGCCAUGGUUAUACCAAGCUAAAGCUAAAAAUGAUUGGGGCCAUAGAACGUUAACUAUCAGAAAGGGAAGAAAAACGAUUGUUUUGCAAAUGCACCUAGUCCAAUAUCAUAGGGAAUUACAAGUUCUAGACUCGGAAGUGACAUCUGAUGAGGAGGAUCAAUCUAAGGAUAACUAUGAUGAAAUUACUAACUUAAUGCAAGUCGACAAUGAUCCAAAUUGCAUACGUAAGGAAGAAAUAUCCUACCAAUAUUGAGGACUUAAAGAAUAUUUUGUUCAUCAGGAGGAUGCAACUAACUCGGAUCAUACUAUUGCCCAAUGGAUGGACAAUCUUGCAAUCAAUAGAGUCAGCUGAUUGGAACAAGAAUGGGAUAGUUCUUAUAUGUCGGAUAAUAUAAGAUAUUUAGAUCAAGAGAAGAUAAUUAAAUCAGAGGUUGUAGAAGAUCCUGUGUGUCUAUCUAUUAACCUAGGCACCAACAAAAUGCCACAUCUAAUUAAAAUAUAUGCCAGUAUUAUAGUUACAGAAUUAGAUGCUUGAAAACAAUUUUUUGUCCAUCACAAAUUUGCCUUUGUGUGGUCGUAUGUGGAUUUGAAAGGGAUUCGAGUCGACGUGUGUGAGCACUAGAUUAUUUUGGAAGAGGGUGUUAUGCCAGUUUGUCAAAGACAACACCAACUUAACCCAAGAUAUUUUCUUUUAGUGAAAGAAGAAUUGGAUAAACUUCUCGACGUGGAUUUUAUUUAUCCUAUUCCGCAUAGUGCAUGGGUGUCACCAAUCGUGAUAGUACCAAAGAAAAAUGGGAAAAUCAAGAUGUGUCAAGAUUUUGGAAAGUUAAAUGCGGCUACUAAGAAGGAUUAUUUUUCGUUACCGUUUAUAGACAAUAUUUUAGACGCAAUGGCCAGAUAUGAAUGGUACUCAUUUUUGGACGGAUUUUUGGGAUAUAAUCAAAUUAAAAUUGCUUAAGAAGACCUGUUGAAGAUUACGUUUACCACAAAUUGGAGAACAUUUGCCUAUAAAGUAAUGCCAUUUGGAUUAUGUAAUGCCCUAGUUACUUUUCAACAAGUAAUGACACAAGCAUUUCAAGACUACCUAUGUUUAUCAAUGGAGAUAUUUCUAGACGAUUUUUGAUCCUUUAGCACAACGGCUAAACAACUAGCAUGUCUAGAUAACUGUUUGAAUCAAUGCGAUAAAUUUGGGAUAUCUCUAAAUUUGGAGAAGUGUCAAUUUGGCAUACCGUCCGGAAAGCUAUAGGGACACAUUGUCUCUAUUGAAGGUAUCGCUAUGGACCCCGAUAAAGUUAUUAGUAUAUUGGGUUAACCAAAGCCAGAUACGGUAUUAGGCAUACACAAUUUCAUCGGUCAUGUUAGCUACUAUCGGCAUUUUAUUGAAUCUUUUGCAAUUAUCUGUCAACCAUUAAUUAACUUGUUAAAGAAACCCCCACCAAACGGAUCUAGCUCAAUAUGGACUAAAGACUAUACUUUUGCAUUUGACAAAUUGAAACAAAAAUUAGUAUCUGUUCCAAUUCUUGUAACACGUUGUUGGACAAAAUCGUUUCAUGUCUAUAUGGAUGCGUCCAAGGUUGCUAUUGGAUCCAUUCACAGAUAAAAUGAUGAAAAAGAAUUAGAUCAUCUCAUAUAUUAUGCGAGCCAACAAUUCGUUGCUGCAGAAUGAAAUUAUAAUACUACCGAGCGAAAAGCCCUCGGAAUGAUCUACUCUGUACAAAAAAUCUGCCACUAUCUACUUGGAUACCCAUUUGUGUUCCACGUUGAUCAUGAUGCACUUAAAUACAUGAUAAAUAAACCUCAAUUGAGCAGAUGAUUUGCUUGACGGUGUUACUUCUGUAGGAAUUCAACUUUACGAUUAACGUUCGAUCCGGCAAAAAAUAUGCCAAUGAAGAUCAUUUAUCCCAUUUAUCUAAUAUAUGGGGUAAUGAGCCAAUAAACAAUGUUUUUUUGGACGCACAACUAUUUGCUGUGGAUGUCAUUACACACAAAUAUGGUGAAUCGAUCCAAUAUCUAAUGUUUUAGACUUUUGUAAUUUCUUAUAAUGAAAAAUUAAAGAAGCGUCAGAUUUUAAAAAGUGCGCCAUAUACCAUGAUUGCAGAUGCCUUGUACAAACAAGGGCGGGAUGGAAUUUUAUGCUGUUGCAUCUUUCAAAGUGAAGUUCGUACAAUUUUGGAAGGCUGUCAUUUGGACAGUUGUGGAGGACAUUUUGCGGGUGAUAGCACCACACGUAAGGCUUUAAUGGCUGGGUAUUGGUGGCCAACAAUGUUUUCGGAUGCACACCAAUAUGUUCGUCGUUGUGAUCCUUGUCAACGAAUUUGUUUGCCCUACUAUAACUUCUGCAAUGCCAUUGGUACCAAUUUUGGCACAAGCACCAUUUGAAAAAUGGGGUAUUGACUUUGUAGGACCCAUUGUACAUGCCUCUCAAAAUGGACAUAAACGUUAUAUUCUAAUAGCCACCAAUUAUGUCACCAAAUGGGCAAAGGCCAUGACAAGGAAAACUGAUAAUGCCAAUACAGUAGCAACAUUUUUAUAUGAGAACAUUAUCACUGAUUUUGGCUGUCUGAAAGAAUUGGUUAAUGAUCGCGGAAUACAUUUUAUUAAUACAAUAAUUGAAACAUUAAUAGCGAAGUAUGAGAUCAAACAUUCCAAAAUUACACCUUAUCAUCCACAAGCCAAUGGGUACAUAGAAAAGACCAAUGAUAUCCAAUUUAAGAUCUUAACAAAGACUAUUUCAAGAGCAAAAAACAAUUGGGAUACUAAAUUGUUUGCAACUUUAUGGGCAUACCGUAUUGCAUAUAAAGUAACUAUCAAUUCUACCCCAUUUCAAUUGAAAUACGAUCAGGAGGUAAUUCUACCAAUUGAAUUGGAGGUCCAAAGUUUACAAAUUGUAUUAGAUGAACGUAUGGGAGACAAAGAAUCUCUUCAAUAUAUGUUAGUCAAAUUGGAGAAAUUGGAUGAAGCUAGGGCUAUGGCUCUCUUGAUCAUGGAAGCUACACAACGUUGUAGAAAGAGUUAUUACAACAGUAUGUUACAGUCAAAAUAUUUUAUGCCCAAUGAUUUGGUGCUACUUUAUGAUAGCCGCUUUAACAACUUUUUCGAUAAAUUUCAAGUAUAAUUGCAUGGGCCAUAUUGGGUGGUGGAAGGUUUUGUUAAUGCUUCAAUUUAAUUGAAAGAUUUUCUGUGAAUCCACUUUACAACACGCAUUAACGAGAACUAGUUACGCAUGAAUGGGAAUCGAUAAGAUUGAAAAGGUUGUGAUAGUUAGGAAACGAUUGAUGGUUAGUUUUGGGUACUGAAAUUGACUAGUCAAGAAAUUAGACAUUCUUGUUAGACGUGAGAUUAAGAUAUUCUAGAUUAGAUAUUCUUGAUUUGAAUCCCGAGUAAGCAGUUAGGAGCGAGGCACUCAUAGAAGGUAUCAUUGUUGCAAAUUUUAGACAUUGUGCUUUGAAUUGUAAGCUUUACGACAGUAAUCAGCAAUAGUGUUAGCGUGAAGAAGUAUUGAGAGUUUGAUUUUCACAAUGUUGAUAGAAAGAGCAAAGAGAGUACCGAAAUGAUCAAAAAGUCACUGCAAUGUGAGGUCUAAGUGCGAUUUGGGAUCACGGUCUCUUGUAGUUAUCACCAACAUGUAACCGAUGAAGUUAGAUAUCUGUUGGUCAUUGAAAAGGCAAAAAGAUUUUAGAAAUACAUAGUUAUUUACGUUUUUACAAAGAUCGAAUAAACUACCACCAAUUAAUGUAAAACGAGUGGCGAAAUAUAUAGAGAAUUAUGAUCUAGAGGAUGGUUUGAGUGUGGUAAGAGGAGUCUUGAUUGGAAUAGAUGAGAAUAUCUUACACAAGGUCUUACAUUUACCAACCGGAGAGCUUGAUGUAGGAGGAGAUGCAUCAAAUGACUUCAGGCGAGGAAGCUACUUCAAAGGAGGAAUGUCGUCUCUCGAGUGAAAUCAAGGAUGGAAGGUACAGGAGGCACUUCUGUCCAAACUUAUGGAAUGGAUGCGGUUUGUUCAGAAGCAGUUAGCAUUGAAUUAGCAUACCACCUACAUGGUGAAGCGAUUAUUAUUUUUCAUGAUAGGAACACUGAAAGGCAUGGUAUUCAAUUGGGCAGCUUCUGUGGCCACAACGAUACAUGCAAAAAUGAGAGGUAAUGGGAAGACGGAGAAUUUUGCUUCACUAUUACGUUCAAAUUAUGUAAACUCAGUACUUGAGUAUACAUUGAAAUAAGAAUCUCAACCAAUUAGAGAUGACAAUAGAGAUGACGACACCAAUACCAAUUCCAAGGGAAAGCAACCAAUUAGGGUUUCCACAGGGUAUAACGGAAAGAUGAAAUCUUAAAAAAGUUAUAUUGAAUCAAAUUUCCUAGCUGCAACUUACGGUGAAUAAGCUCAAAGAUGAGGAUAGCUUAAAAAGGCAAGUAGAAGCGAGCAAGAAAAUAAUAUUGGAGCAAAAUUACAAAAUCAAGGAACAAGAACAAGUCAUCAAGGUAGAAUCAGAAUCCAAGAUGCGAGUGAAGCGUGAAUUGGAUAAGAGAGUGGAAAACUAGUCAAAGGAGAAACAAAGGAUUCAACAUAUCCUAAAAAAUCAAAGGCAAGAAUUACUACAAACUCGCAAAUCAUAUAAAUUGGAACAAGACAAGAUGAACGCUAAGUUGAAGAUGGAAUGAGAGAAGAAGGAGGCAUUGGAGCUUAAAAAGAAACAAUUGGGUGUCGAAUAUCGAAACAAAAUAGAUGAGCUACAGGCAAAAAUUAUUGUUUUGAAGGAAAUAGUAACAAAAUUGGAGAGUGAUUUGGUCAAAAUUGGUUAGCCACAGAUAUUUGCCUCAACGAGAAUAAAAAUUGAAAAAUUGGAGGAGAAAUUGCAAAAGCAACAACAAUAAUUGCAAGUUCAUGUUCGAGAAUUGGGAGCGUAUAAUGAAGAUUUAACAGCUCAAUUAAAGGUAGAGAUUUAGGAUGAGUCGUCGAAAGAAGAUAUAGUGUUGAAACAAGACCAAAUGGAGCCAACGCCAGGAAUUGAAAAGAUUAAACAAUCCACUUACAAAAAGAAGAAAAAAAAAAAAAAAAAAAAAAAAAUUGUUUAUCAAUAUUGUAUUUGCAUGGACCCUAUACAAUUAGAAGUCAGGCUAUAUAGAAUAAGUAGUUAUUUUUAGGAUGUAGAUACAUAAUGUAUAGUGUAAACAGGGUUAGAUAACUACUGAAAAGGUGGUUCAAUAGGUAGAAUGGAUGAAUAGUCAGGAAAAAUAGUUAUCAUCGGUAGUAUAGGAGUUGAUAUCUUGGGGUAGUAUAAGGAGGAUGGGAGAGAAGAUGAAAAUUCCAGAUUGUGAUAGUUAUUAGCCAAGAAUAAGCUUGGUGCUAUCUCUUCUUCUUAGUUUUCUUGUUUCUUUGGUGUUAGUGUUGAUUCUUGUGAAGAUAAUCGAUUUAAUGAAUCAAUGUUUGAUUUAGGAAGUUUUUUAUAGAAGUUUCCAGUCACUGUUUAUCGCAAGGUUGUAAGUUCAGUGGAGAGGAAUUAUAAUUGAAGGAAUUGUCUUCAUCAAAUUCAGUGGAUUAGAAGUUGUUCGUUCCAAGAUUUGGGUUAUGCUUGUGUGUUUGUAAAUUACACAGGGUAUUGAAAUUGAUGUCGAGGUUGUUAUCAUAUUAAUAUGAGAGAGUAAACAAUAGGAGGAAAAGUUAAGUGUUCUUCAACAUUGUAAGCAUUCAGUUGUAGCGGUUAAUUGUGUGACCCUAACAAUUGGAACUCAUAUACAUGGUCUUUUCCUGUGUUCAAAUUCCCCUAUAUGAAUUUAUUCUGGUAGGUUUCUUUCAAAAUAAGUAAAACGAUAAUCACAAAAACUCAUGCAUUUUAACAUAGAAGAGAGCAAAUCCAUUGAAACUCCAUUUGAUGUGAAUUCCAAGUUGUUGAAGCUUUUUGAGAAAAAGUAUGAAGAGAUUCAAGAAGAAAUGGAAGGCAUUCCAUACAAGACAACAAUAGAAUCAUUCAUGUAUGCAAUGGUGGAUAUAAGGGCAAAUCUUGCAUUUUUGAUGGAUGUGCUAAGCCAAUUCAUAUCUAGAGCAAGUCCCUUUCAUUGGAUGGUUGAAAUGCAUCAUGAAAUAUUUGAAGGAUACUUUAGACUUCAAUUUGUAUUUAGAGGCAAAGACAUCAUAUUGAAGGGUUUUAGUCAUGUGGAUAAAGUGGGGAGUAGAAUGAUCUCUCUCACUCCGAGCAUUGUAUGCAUACUCUAUCUAUUGCAUGUACUUAUGCAUCUUGUUUGUACUCCUAUUGUACUUCAACAACUUUUGCACCAAGAGGUAGGCUGCAACGCACUAACUACCAUGCAGUCAAAAAAUCUUCUUAGAUUUCACACGGAUAUGUCACAAAUCAAGCUAUUUCAAACAAUGAAGGCAAAUAUCUACAGUAUUAUGGAUGAAAACAUUUACAUCAACUGUAGAAGCACAAUAAUCACUUAUUAGUAGAUUAGUUUAGUAUGUCCAUACUUCAGCUACUAGAUACAUUUUUCUAAUACCCAUGGCAUGCAACGAAGUUAUGGAGUGUACCUUUACACCACUACACCACCUCUACACCACUAUAAAUAACUCACUUGGCAAGUGGGAUGCCAUGUAGGUUCGGUGGUUACCACCUUUCUGUGGUUGAAACCCUCGUUUACAAGCCACCACGAGCUCCUGUCUACCUCCUGGUAGGAAGGGGGCGUAUGCUUCGGAGGACUCUUACGUCCAAUGCGUUAUUGGACCAGUGAACUGUUAGUAGCUGCAGUGACAUAAACAUAUUGACGCACGUAUCGACGUCAUAUUCAGCAUAGUUUACAACAAGAAGUUCAUUACUGCGUUGGGUUUAUUACUUGCCAGAAUUUCAGAUUCGUUUUUCAACUUGCUUUGCAGUACGAGGUUCUGGACCCUUGUUUUCACAGAAUUAAGUCGACACCUUCUGGAACAUCCACUUUGUUUACUUCGUUUUGACAGACUUCCCAACAUUGACAAAUUGUAGAUGAAGUUAUCGACAUUAAAGUGUCGAAAAAUUAGUUCGACAUUGAUUUAGUCACUUGUGUGUCUAAACAAUUGUCGAAACCGAAGCAAGCGAAAUCCUUCCAAAUUUCUACAGUCAUAUGUCAGAGAAUUUCCCAAAAAAUAUAAUAAAAUGUCGGAAACCUGCCAAAAAAGGUGUCAAAAACAAACCCUCUUCGGUUGUUCUUCGGUUCUGCGUGGGCACAUCCCACUUUUCCAAUCUGAAGCACAAGCACGAGAGGUUUGUUUUAACGAAGCAAUUCCCUUGGUAAUGAUCAGAAUUGCGGAGUUUUCAGACUUCAUCCCCCCUGGAGCUAUUUUCUCAAAAGUUGCAUGAAACUUGAGAAGAUGGAGCACUAUAGGCGCCUUCAGCCAACAAUGCCGGAUGCGGCUCUACGUAGGAUUCUUGCAAAUAAGAUCUCAUUCCCACAUGAUAGGUCAUCCUUAUCUGCUUCAACAACAUAAUGCCAGAAUCACAGUAUCCCUCACAUCAGGUUCAACAGCUUUCGAAGUCCAUGUGUAAGUUCAUGUUAGUCAUUCUACGGAGACAUUUUAAUCUCUCCAAGCAAGUUUCUGCAUUUGGUCUUCUGGAAGCGUCAGUCUGCAAGCAAUCCCUUUGCAACUCUCGAACACCCGCUGACAAACCAUUUAUCCCGCUACUCCUGAUCAAAUGCCCAAUGCCCCAUAUGUCUACACUCGAGUCAUGACGACCUCUGCUCAUCUCAGGGGCGUGAGCUUCAACACACAGUCCGUGAGCGUGACCACAGGGAGUAGCAGCAGUCUCAUCAAAAUCAAUUAAAACCCAGUUGGUACCUGAAGUGUUUCUGAGAACAUUCCGCCAAGUUAUAUCUCGAUGCAUUAGAUUUUUUCCAUGCAACCAGACCAGUGCUUCUGCAACAUUGAUCAAUGCUUUCAAAAGUUCAUCUUCAGGUCUCGCCCGGCUUUUCACAAGACACCGGGGUAUCAUUCGGAAUCUACGAUCGGCUGCAUUAAUUUUCAGCACCUGCUCUGCAUUGGGGCAAUCCUUGAUGCUCUUAUAUAUUUGGUACACCUUCUCAAAGGUACGCUUAUCUCUGUAGAUCUUGUCAACACCAGUCCCCACGAAAACAGUUUUUCCGUCAGUGCGAUAAUCGUAAAAGUCAGACUCAACUCCCAGCACGAUUCCAGCUUCAGACAGGCGCAUUAGCAGCUUGCUGAUGUUGAAGCCUAUCAACGAUGCCAGCAACCUGUCCUCUACAACAGAUAGAUUGACAGUGAUCAAAUCCACCACCUCAGUCUUACAUCGCUUAGCAUCAUGCACUAGUGCACAGUAAGUAACGAUCGCUGCGUUGGCAUAAUAACACAGGAGAUAGGGCAGGUUUCCAUACGUCCAGAUCAGCUUCCUGACCAAUUCUUGUUUGGGAUCAUCUUCAGUAUCUGGCCCCUUCUCCUCGCCACGCCAAAGUGCGAGUCUGGAAACCAUCCCAAGUUUGUCUGGGCGCUUGUUCUCGGAUGAACUAAACCUUGAGGUGUCUCUAUCAAAGACAAGUGUUUCCAAAGAGAACAGGGAUAUUGGCUCAGUAACAAGACAAUCCCAAUAAGCAUGAUAAGAACUUUCUGUAGAGCCUGUAGCUGGAGGCCUUAACACAAUCCCAAGGUGGUCAUCCAAAUUCCAGCAAACGCCUCGUGCAGGGUCAUGACAAAUAAAGUUGUCUGCUUUACUCAGAUAGCUCUUCCACUGAAAGUAGCGUCGGUGAGAAACCGGAAAUGCCAUACGUGGCGGAUGCAGCAAGUAACCUUUCAGUUCAGUGACCUCCGGAAUCCUGACGUCCACUCUUGCUUCUACUAAUAACCUCCGGAAAGGGUCCAGUGCAUCCUGUUGAGCAGCUGCUUAAACCACAAAAUAAGUAAACAUACAUAGAGAUGCGAGCCUAAAUAAGCACAUAAAUUAGCAGGCCAGACUACCUAUGGUUUCGGAAACCUAUGUAGCCAUUGUGAAAGAGUAGUGUCCCCUCCAGAAACGAAAACCCCCAAGGUAUAGAGUUCCACACCGACCACCUCAACGCGUCCAGUAACCACAGGGAAGAAGAAAGGGUGGUGGCUUGGUAUAUAUAGCUGGAACAGCAUUAAGGCACAGCUACCGAGACGUAACGUGGCAGCAAGAGAAAGGCCGAAGUCAGGUGAGUUGGGGGAGUGUGUUAAAUACCAGCCAUCAGUAACCCUUUAUCGGUUAAUAAUCGGCUGAGGUUAAGUACCAUGAGUUCAAACAGAGGGAGGGAGGGAGCGUGGCUGCAUAAAGAAAACCUUCACCAGUUACCCAUAAGUUCGAGAACUAAUUAAUAGGUGCCAUGCAGACACGUCUACAACCCUUAAUAGGUUAACCUGGAGGAAAAAAUUGGAACGUACUUGUUUACAAAAAGCAUAAAUCAACGGCUUCCUCAACUGUGAUAAAACAAUCAGACCUUCAGGCGCAAAGUAUGAACAGUGCAACGCAGCCAAUUCAACAAUGGUGCAAGACCAUCCAAUACAAGCACGUGUCUCUGAAUGACAAACAUCGAAUAAAAUUGGAAUGUGUACUUCCCUGUGUACUUGCAUAACCUACAUGACCAAGAAGUACCAGAAGAAGAAGAGGACAAGGGGGUGGGGAAAAAUAAAUGCAGGCAUUGAGCAAAAACUAGAGAGCCCUAGAGAGCGAAUCAGUAAGACCAAGAACAACAUUUCUUACCCAAUGAGUUUCAAUAGAUCCACAAGGUUCAGAAACCUUGAAAACAACAGACCUUAUCAGACGUGGAAUAAAGCAUCGAACAAGCCAUCACAAGAAAACCUAAUUGUUCUGCUGAAAAAAAAAAACAUACCAGGAGCAGGAGCUUGUAAGAAUGCAUACUUCAGGGCUUAAGGUAUUGAUUAAGCUACCAAGUUAAGAAGGAGAAUCAUACCGGUAGGAGGUGCUACCCCAAUGCCAACCCUAAUUCCAUAACCAUGAACUAAACCCUCGCCCGAAAAUAUGAACCGGACGAGAUACUAAUAGGAACCCUGGCCAAAGGGAAGAAGUGGAUAUAAUCAAGUGGAUAAUGCAAUAAGUGUCAGGACAAGUGAUUUCACCUGAAGUAUCAGCGUUGAGUAGCAGCAGUUCCUUUUCCCGCAGUUGCUCCUCCUUCUUCCGCAGUUGCUCCUCCUUUUUCCUCAGUUGCUCCUUCUCUUUCCGCCAGUAAGCGACAUCGGCCUCUGUGACAGCCUUCGUCAGUUGUUCUUCCACAGCAUCGAUCUGUUGCUCUACUUUCCUGAUCUCUUGCUUCACCUCUUCAAUUUCGGUAUCCAUUGUCUUGUAAAGCGCAUGACCCUUUCAGCACGCCUAUGCUGCCUACGUGACCACCUCCUGUAACGUGCAACCUCAGCAGCAAUUCAUUAGAACGCUGUCACACGCAAACGCGAGCAGUGCUCGAAAUGCAUACAAAACUCCGCUCAGCCAAAACAAACCCCUAUAGAGACAACAAACAGAAAGAGUAAAAUCAGCUGCCAAACCACAAUCAAAGCUCAUGGCGCGCACGACAGCCACUUCUAAACUCUCCCGAAUCAUGCCUCACAACUAAUAAUCCAACAACAUAAGUAAUCACCCUGACAUUCACCAUAAAGACUCGAAAUUUACCGCAGAAACACGAAACACGGAGGGGCGGCUGACCCCGGCCAAGAAAUCAACGACACCCGGAAAAGCAAACCGGCGCUGGAAUUACAAGAGGAAAAGAAACUGGACAACAAUACG
rnacentral:lncRNA from 1 species